rnacentral:rRNA from 1 species
GUGGGGAAUAUUGCGCAAUGGGGGAAACCCUGACGCAGCGACGCCGCGUGGGUGAUGAAGGCCUUCGGGUCGUAAAGCCCUGUCGUAGGGGAAGAACCGGUGCACAGCUAAUAUCUGUGCGCUCUGACGGUACCCUACAAGACAGCACCGGCUAACUCCGUGCCAGCAGCCGCGGUAAUACGGAGGGUGCAAGCGUUGUUCGGAAUCACUGGGCGUAAAGCGCGUGCAGGCGGUCGAUUAAGUUCGGUGUGAAAGCCCGGGGCUCACCCCCGGAAGUGCGCUGAAAACUGAUCAACUAGAGUACGGGAGAGGGAAGCGGAAUUCCUGGUGUAGCGGUGAAAUGCGUAGAUAUCAGGAGGAACACCGGCGGCGAAGGCGGCUUCCUGGACCGAUACUGACGCUGAGACGCGAAAGCGUGGGGAGCAA